GACUCCGUAGCUCAGUUGGAUAGAGCGUUUGACUACGAAUCAAAAGGUCCAAAUUUUUGGUAUUACCA
rnacentral:tRNA from 2 species